rnacentral:rRNA from 1 species
UACGAAGGGGGCUAGCGUUGUUCGGAAUUACUGGGCGUAAAGCGCGCGCAGGCGGUCUUUCAAGUCAGUGGUGAAAGCCUGGAGCUCAACUCCAGAACUGCCAUUGAAACUGCAAGACUUGAGUACGAGAGAGGUGAGUGGAAUUCCCAGUGUAGAGGUGAAAUGCGCAGAUAUCAGGAAGAACACCCGUGGCGAAGGCGGUUCUCUGGGACGGUACUGACGCUGAGACGCGAAAGCCAGGGGAGCAAACGGG